AUGAUCCCAGGACCUGGAAUCAUACCAGCUGAUGGGUGGUGGUUUAUUUCUCGUUCAGCUGACGGUGGCCAUUUGAUGCUCAUUUGCAUGUACCAAAUUGACCAAACCAUUUCAUCAAACCACAUCCAGUACAAUGCCUGGGGCUACCAUAUAACUGGAAUUAACCCAUGCAAGUCGAAGAAGGAUUGGUUGGUGCUGUCGGCCGACGUCAAGUUCGAUCCCACGGAUCAGGAGCUGAUCGAGCACCUUGAGGCCAAAGUGAGUGCUAACAGCUCGAGAUCUCACCCUCUCAUCGAUUUGUUGAUACCAACCAUCGACAGCGAGCACGGCAUAUGCUACACCCAUCCUAAGAAACUUCCAGGUAUCACACUGAGUGGCCUAAGCAAGCAUUUCUUCCAGCGCAAUUCUAGGGCGUUCAAAAGGGGCACGUGGACGCGUCGCAAGAUACAGUCGGAGUGCGGCAUGCACGCGAUGUGGCACAACAUCGACAAUACCUUGCCAGUGAUGGUCAACGGCCGGCAAACGGGCAGCAAAAAGGUUCUGGUGCUGCACACCAACAAGAACUUCGACCAGCAGAGGACCAACUGGGUGAUGCACCAGUACCACCUCGGGGACCUGGAGCAAGAGAAGGAGCGGGAGCUGGUCCUCUGUAGGAUUUUCUACCAGACGAACACUAGGGCCAGGAGUAAAAAGAUUAUAAGUUAG
rnacentral:rRNA from 1 species